GGGGAUUUAGCUCAGUGGCAUAAGCACCUGCCUUGCAUGCAGGGGGUUGUGAGUUUGAUCCCCA
rnacentral:tRNA from 1 species